rnacentral:rRNA from 1 species
AUGGCUCAGGAUGAACGCUAGCGGCAGGCCUAACACAUGCAAGUCGCGGGGCAGCACGGGUAGCAAUACCUGGUGGCGACCGGCGCACGGGUGCGUAACGCGUAUGCAACCUGCCCCCAUCAGGGGAAUAGCCCGCCGAAAGGCGGAUUAAUGCCCCAUAGGCCCAGGGCGCCGCAUGGCGCUAUGGGUAAAGCUCCGGCGGAUGGGGAUGGGCAUGCGUGCCAUUAGCUAGUUGGGGCGGUAACGGCGCACCAAGGCGACGAUGGCUAGGGGGUCUGAGAGGAUGGUCCCCCACACUGGUACUGAGACACGGACCAGACUCCUACGGGAGGCAGCAGUGGGGAAUAUUGCACAAUGGGCGAAAGCCUGAUGCAGCGACGCCCGCGUGAGCGAAGAAGUAUUUCGGUAUGUAAAGCUCUAUCAGCAGGGAAGAUAAUGACGGUACCUGACUAAGAAGCACCGGCUAAAUACGUGCCAGCAGCUGC